ensembl:lncRNA
CUGGGAAGAUCCCACAUGCCUUGAAGCUAGCCUUGUGCUACAACUAUCGAGCCCGUGUUCUAGAGCGCAGGAGCCACAACUACCGAAGCCCCUUGUGCCUGAAGACUGGGCCCCGCAACUAGAGAAGCCUCCGCAGUGAGAAGCCUGCGCCCCGCAACUAGAGAAGCCUCUGCAGUGAGAAGCCUGCGCCCCGCAACAAGAGACAAGCCCACGCGGGAACAAAGACCCACGUGGCCAAAAAUAAGGCCAGACAGUCCCCCACAGGCUGCAGAGGGCAAGGCAGGCAUCCUUUGGCAUGGAUUCUUUCUUCCUUGGGUCAUUCCUUCAGCAACCUCCUCACCACCCUGCUUCUCCCACGCCCCAGCCUCCCUGCAGACCACUGCCUGGAUUUCAGGGCCCACAGCCCUCCUGUCCAGUGUCUCUAAGUGUAAUAGGUUGGCUUCCUUGGGGAACAGACAUUGGGAUGGAGAUUUACAUGCAAUUACUGGCAAGUGUGCUUGGGAAUGGUACUGCCAGGGAGGGAGAGAAGGCUCGCAUGUGAGGAUGCACCAUCAGCACAGAGAUCUCAACACCCCACCACCCAGAGGGAUCUCUGAGGCUGAGUCGGCCCUUCAGAGAGGUCCUGAAUGGAGGCAAAGGGCCAAGAGUCUGUACCUCUGCAUCAUCCAGUCACUGGAGGCAGUGGACCCUGGGGUGAGAGCACAGCCUUGGGCAAAGCAGCUCCCUCUGGGUGAGGGCAAUUUCUGGGGAAGGACCCAGCUCUCCCCACCAGCGGACAAACUCUCCUGGAAGCGGGAGAAUGAG